UACGUAGGGUGCAAGCGUUGUCCGGAAUUAUUGGGCGUAAAGAGCUCGUAGGCGGUCUGUUGCGUCGGCUGUGAAAACCCGGGGCUCAACCCCCGGGCCUGCAGCCGAUACGGGCAGACUAGAGUUCGGCAGGGGAGACUGGAAUUCCUGGUGUAGCGGUGAAAUGCGCAGAUAUCAGGAGGAACACCGGUGGCGAAGGCGGGUCUCUGGGCCGAUACUGACGCUGAGGAGCGAAAGCGUGGGGAGCAAACAGG
rnacentral:rRNA from 1 species